CACGGCUUUGUUUAAAGAGCACCAAUUAUGCUAAUAAAUUGGCACGUUAGCACGUAAAUGCAGUAUCCCAUAGUACAUACAUGUUAUUAAAACUUGAACUAAUGCAUUGUGAGUCUUAUAAAUUGCUUACAUACCUCACCGAUUUCCCACUGUCUGAAAAACGCUCGGUUUAGUUCCUGUCUCCGCCUCCCAAAAUGUCUAGUGUAAUCGGAUUGGUCAGAUGACUACUCAACUGUUAUUGGUCAGCUGGGUUCGACGUGUGUUUGAAAGGUUACGCCCCUGACUACGUGUGGGUUGACACACCGGUUCUGACUGAGAGAGUCACAGCCUCAGAGGCAACGUAAACAAGCGUUAUAUUUCUCUAUAAACGAUGGUGUCUGUACUGCCUUACCACUUCGAGCUCGAUCCAGAGAGUUCAGAAGGCCGUUACGAUAUAAACGAUCUCCGUCAAUGAAUGCGAUUGGAUUUAACUUUUUUAGGUGUCCUUAGCUCUGCCAGAAUGCUAAACGAAGACGAAAAUGUGUUGCAAAGACAUCCAAAAGGUAAUUAUAACGUACUACAUAACUAUAUGGAAACACCAAAUGUAGCACAUAGAAAGUAUUUGUUGAAAUGAUUAUAAAACGAUUUCACUUGGUAAUUUCUACAUUAUUUUACUAUAGUAAAAUGUAUUAUAAAAGACUGUUUACAUACUCUAUUACUGUGCAAACUAUAUGGAAACACCAAAUGUAGCACAUAGAAAGUAUUUGUUGAAAUGAUUAUAAAACGAUUUCACUUGGUAAUUUCUACAUUAUUUUACUAUAGUAAAAUGUAUUAUAAAAGACUGUUUACAUACUCUAUUACUGGGCAAACUAUAUGGAAACACCAAAUGUAGCACAUAGAAAGUAUUUGUUGAAAUGAUUAUAAAACGAUUUCACUUGGUAAUUUCUACAUUAUUUUACUAUAGUAAAAUGUAUUAUAAAAGACUGUUUACAUACUCUAUUACUGUGCAAACUAUAUGGAAACACCAAAUGUAGCACAUAGAAAGUAUUUGUUGAAAUGAUUAUAAAACGAUUUCACUUGGUAAUUUCUACAUUAUUUUACUAUAGUAAAAUGUAUUAUAAAAUACUGUUUACAUACUCUAUUACUGUGCAAACUAUAUGGAAACACCAAAUGUAGCACAUAGAAAGUAUUUGUUGAAAUGAUUAUAAAACGAUUUCACUUGGUAAUUUCUACAUUAUUUUACUAUAGUAAAAUGUAUUAUAAAAGACUGUUUACAUACUCUAUUACUGUGCAAACUAUAUGGAAACACCAAAUGUAGCACAUAGAAAGUAUUUGUUGAAAUGAUUAUAAAACGAUUUCACUUGGUAAUUUCUACAUUAUUUUACUAUAGUAAACUUCAUUAUAAAAUACUGCUUACAUACUAUUUUACUGUGCUAUGUUUUUACUUAUUAGGUUUUAAGGAGAAUGCAACAGGUUCCAGGGCCUCUUACCUGCGUGAUUCAUCAUCCAGGUUUUGCACAAAUUGUCUAAAUCCCUACACACAGAACAUUUAUUGUACCGACUAUAAGCCUUUGAGGCGCAGGACUAGAAUAUGCUUGGAGCUUCCUGAUCGGAAUGUUGGCUUCCGACGACCCCUGCACUGAAGAUGGCAUGCAAUCACGUCCUCCUUUGAAGGUCUCUCAAACUGUGAUGCCAGGUCCAUUGGAAUCGGGGUUUCCUUCAGCUUAUCUUCAAAUACCUCAUCAAACACAAGCCUGAUCACAUCAUCCACAUAACUGUACAAAUAUUGCAGUCAAUAAAUCUUUUGUUUUGAUAAUUUAUUUCCCUGCUUCAUACAUUAAGUUUUUAAUUAUGAAUGUAUUUGAAAUAAAACAUUACUGCUUACAGUA